GGUCAGAUAGUCUAGUGGCAAAGGAUGAUUUGGUAGAAGAUCAUCGAGCACCAAAUAGGCGGGGGUUCAAUUCCAUCUCUGGCCA